rnacentral:rRNA from 1 species
UGCGUAAUAGCUCACUAGUCGAGAGAUCCUGCGCCGAAAAUGUCCGGGGCUCAAACUUACCACCGAAGCUACGGGCUCAAGUUAAACUUGAGCGGUAGAGGAGCGUCGUAAUCGGGCUGAAGUCGUACCGUAAGGAGCGGUGGACUGAUUACGAGUGAGAAUGUUGGCAUUAGUAGCGAGAUGUAAGUGAGAAUCUUACAGGCCGAAAAUCUAAGGUUUCCUGGGGAAGGCUCGUCCGCCCAGGGUUAGUCGGGACCUAAGCCGAGGCCGAAAGGCGUAGGUGAUGGACAAUUGGUUGAUAUUCCAAUACCACUAUUAUCGUUAUUAUCGAUGGUGUGACGGAGAAGGAUAGGAUGUGCUAGCGAUUGGAAAUGCUAGUCUAAGCAUUUAGGGAGUUAAGAUAGGCAAAUCCGUUUUAACAAUCCUGAGGUGUGAUGGGGAAGGCCAUUAAGGCUGAAGUAUCUGAUUCCCUGCUUCCAAGAAAAGCAUCUAGAGAGAAAAGUAGUGCCCGUACCGCAAACCGACACAGGUAGAUGAGGAGAGAAUCCUAAGGCCAUCGGAAGAAUUGCAGUUAAGGAACUAGGCAAAUUGACCCCGUAAGUUAGCGAGAAGGGGUGCCUGCGAGAGCAGGCCGCAGAGAAUAGGCCCAAGCAACUGUUUAGCAAAAACACAGGUCUCUGCUAAAGCGCAAGCUGAUGUAUAGGGGCUGACGCCUGCCCGGUGCUGGAAGGUUAAGGGGAACACUUAGCGCAAGCGAAGGUGUGAACUUAAGCCCCAGUAAACGGCGGCCGUAACUAUAACGGUCCUAAGGUAGCGAAAUUCCUUGUCAGGUAAGUUCUGACCCGCACGAAUGGCGUAAUGACUUGGGCACUGUCUCAACUGCAAAUCCGGCGAAGUUGUAGUGCGAGUGAAGAUGCUCGCUACCCGCGAUUGGACGGAAAGACCCCGUAGAGCUUUACUGUAGCUUAGCAUUGAGUUCCGAUAUUGUCUGUACAGGAUAGGUGGGAGACUGAGAAACUAGGGCGUCAGCCUUGGUGGAGUCAACCUUGGGAUACCACCCUGACAGUAUUGGGAUUCUAACUGGACGCCAUGAAUCUGGUGACAGGACAUUGUUAGGUGGGCAGUUUGACUGGGGCGGUCGCCUCCUAAAAUGUAACGGAGGCGCCCAAAGGUUCCCUCAGAACGGUCGGAAAUCGUUCGUAGAGUGCAAAGGCAGAAGGGAGCCUGACUGCGACACCCACAAGUGGAGCAGGGACGAAAGUCGGGCUUAGUGAUCCGGUGGUACCUCGUGGGAGGGCCAUCGCUCAACGGAUAAAAGCUACCUCGGGGAUAACAGGCUGAUCUCCCCCAAGAGUCCACAUCGACGGGGAGGUUUGGCACCUCGAUGUCGGCUCGUCGCAUCCUGGGGCUGUAGUCGGUCCCAAGGGUUGGGCUGUUCGCCCAUUAAAGCGGCACGCGAGCUGGGUUCAGAACGUCGUGAGACAGUUCGGUCCCUAUCCGUCGCGGGCGUAGGAAAUUUGAGAGGAUCUGCUCCUAGUACGAGAGGACCAGAGUGGACUUACCGCUGGUGUACCAGUUGUCUCGCCAGAGGCAUCGCUGGGUAGCUAUGUAGGGAAGGGAUAAACGCUGAAAGCAUCUAAGUGUGAAGCCCACCUCAAGAUGAGAUUUCCCAUUUCU